GAUGAACGCUGGCGGCGUGCCUAAUACAUGCAAGUCGAGCGAACAGACGAGGAGCUUGCUCCUCUGACGUUAGCGGCGGACGGGUGAGUAACACGUGGAUAACCUACCUAUAAGACUGGGAUAACUUCGGGAAACCGGAGCUAAUACCGGAUAAUAUACUGAACCGCAUGGUUCAAUAGUGAAAGACGGUUUUGCUGUCACUUAUAGAUGGAUCCGCGCCGCAUUAGCUAGUUGGUAAGGUAACGGCUUACCAAGGCAACGAUGCGUAGCCGACCUGAGAGGGUGAUCGGCCACACUGGAACUGAGACACGGUCCAGACUCCUACGGGAGGCAGCAGUAGGGAAUCUUCCGCAAUGGGCGAAAGCCUGACGGAGCAACGCCGCGUGAGUGAUGAAGGUCUUCGGAUCGUAAAACUCUGUUAUUAGGGAAGAACAAAUGUGUAAGUAACUAUGCACGUCUUGACGGUACCUAAUCAGAAAGCCACGGCUAACUACGUG
rnacentral:rRNA from 1 species